rnacentral:rRNA from 1 species
GACGAACGCUGGCGGCGUGCUUAACACAUGCAAGUCGAACGGAAAGGCCCUGCUUUUGUGCGUUGCUCGAGUGGCGAACGGGUGAGUAACACGUGAGUAACCUGCCCUUGUCUUUGUGAUAACUUCAGGAAACUGGGGCUAUUACCCGAUAGGAGCUCCUGCUGCAUGGUGUGGGUUGGAAAGUUUCGGCGGUUGGGGAUGGACUCGCGGCUUAUCAGCUUGAUUGUGGGGUAGUGGCUUACCAAGGCUUUGACGGGUAGGCGGCCUGAGCGGGUGACCGGCCACAUUGGGACUGAGAUGCGGCACAGACUCCUAAGGGAGGCAGCAGUGGGGAAUAUUGAACAAUGGGCGGCAGCCUGAUGCAGAAACGCCGCGGGCGGGAUAACGGCCUUCGGGUUGUAAACCGCAUGCGCCUGUGACGAAGCGUGAGUGACGGUAAUGGGUAAAGAAGCACCGGCUAACUACGUG